AAUCAAAGCCUGGCUCAUAGCAGAUCAAGAGCCUACCCACUUGUCUCUUCUAACCUAGAGACAAAUCUUCAAAGCAUUUCACCGCCACUAGCAAGGGAAUGCAAUCCCCAAACGGUUAAGUUCGGAAAGAGAAUCCAGCUACACAGCACAAGGACCAGAAUCCCCUCCCAAAUCAGCAUCCCCGAGUGCAGCCCAAGAGUCUACAUCUGGAGAUCCGUACCCCCCUCUCAAUCCACGACGGGUUCUCGCAGCCUCCAGAGAACCGAAUCCAGCUACUAAUUCAAGACGGAGGUCUUCUGCAAAGAACUCAUUCCUAGGCCCGGGUCCCUCAGAGAUGAGGCCGGCGGCAGGACCCCCAAGAGGCCUCCAUCAGCCAGACCCCCGGUUCCAGGCGCCCCGCCCCCACCAGCUCAAACAGCCUCAGCCGCCUUUUCAGGUUCCCUUCGGCUGUGUGACCUGGGUUCAGGAGUUGAGACAACCACCUCCUCUGCCCAUCCAGACCUCCUCAAACCAACCCUUCGACUGCCACGGCAGCAGGGACCCCGGGACACAGACCUAAAAUCGUCAUCUCUCCGGCCAUCAGUCCCGCCGAACCAGCAGAGAGAUGACUGUACCGACGGGAGGCACCGCCCCCUACCCCCCGGCCGUCCCGCAGCCUCCUGGGAAGUGUAGUCCGGCCGGUCCGAGGCAGACGGAGGAACUACGUCUCCCAUCACAUCAGGGACUCCAUCUACCAUGAGGCCGCGGGGUGGAGUCUUCGCAGGCCCGUGAGGAAAUAGUCGGCCUCCCCACUCACGAAGGCCCAACAAACCAGGCUUCGUUGGGGAGCCGCCUCCAGGAAAGGUCAGAGUUUGUCAUUCAUUAAACCCCAAACGCCGCGAGCCUACUGGCCUUACCGCAGUUCCCGUAGCCCCUCCUCGCCGCGUUGUAUUGUGGGAGUUGUAGUUCUGGACUGCCCAGAGGUUGGAAGGAGAAAGAAGGAAGCUAAAACCUGUAAGAGUCUGAGGUAGCCUCCCUGGUGAUGUGAGUAGCAGUCCAGUCAUCCUUGUUCCACAUCUAGUAUCCUGCUAUGAAAUUCAUGUGGCAGGUUGGAGGUAUGGAACUCAGGUUUGUUAACAAGCACCCUUAACCUGAUGAACCCAGCUUGACAGGAUUUAGGAACUCCUAGAGACUAAGCUGUGGACAUGACUCACCAGUCAAUGGCCGUGUUCAAGACUAUAUGGAGUGAGUGUGAGCUACAAACCUGAAAAGGGAAGGAAUAAGGAGAGUGAAGAGAGGAAGCUGCACGAGCACGAUGUGAUGCAAAUGGCUGGGAGCACCAGAGAUGCCAUCAUCACAUGUUGCCACUGCUGUUUUAAUAACCAGUUCUGUGGAGGACAUUAGCGUUGCUCAAGUAGAAGAUAAAAGUAGGGCAUAC